AAAGCUUCCGGAUGAGGUGAGUGUAGGAGUGAAAGGCCAAUCAAACUCGGAGAUAGCUCGUACUCCCCGAAAUGCAUUUAGGUGCCGCGUACGGUGUUCAGCGUGAGAGGUAGAGCGACCGAUAGGAUGCGAGGGCUUCACCGCCUAUCAAGUCCUGACAAACUCCGAAUGCUCACGCUCGGUAGCCAUGCAGUAAGGGGGCGGGUGCUAAGGUCCGUCCCCGAGAGGAGAAGAAUCCAGACCGUCGUCUAAGGUCCCGGAAUUCUGCCUGAGUUAGUCUAACGAAGUCUGGUCCCCGUGACAGCCAGGAUGUUGGCUUGGAAGCAGCCAUUCAUUCAAAGAGUGCGUAACAGCUCACUGGUCGAGGGUCCGGGCGUGGAUAAUAAUCGGGUAUAAGGCAGAUACCGAAGGCGCGGGAUAGCAAUUAUAAAAGUAUCGGUAGGGGAGCAUUCCGUCGGCGUGGAAUGCAAGGGGUGACCCUUGCUGGAGCUUACGGAAAAGCAAAUGUAGGUAUAAGUAACGAUUAGGAGGGCGAGAACCCCUCCCGCCGCAAGACCAAGGUUUCCCGGGCAAUGUCAUUCAUCCCGGGGUUAGUCGGGUCCUAAGUCUCAGCCGAACGGCGAGGGCGAUGGCAGAAACGGUCAACAUUCCGUUACUGCCCCAUGGAGCGAUGUGGAGACGGAGCAGUGACACCGCCGCGGAGAUACGGAAUUCUCCGUUUAAGGGUGUAGGUUAUGAGGAGUACAGGCAAUUCCGUACUUCGAGCCGAACCUGAAAGUACUUCCCUCCCUUCGGGGCGGGGAGACAGCGCGGGUAA
rnacentral:rRNA from 1 species